UUAAUUGAAACCAAAACAGAGGUAUAUUACUGUUAAUAAUAUUAAUGAGAAACACUCCAAUUAAA
rnacentral:tRNA from 1 species